rnacentral:rRNA from 1 species
AACGAACGCUGGCGGCAUGCCUAACACAUGCAAGUCGAACGAGACCUUCGGGUCUAGUGGCGCACGGGUGCGUAACGCGUGGGAACCUGCCCUUAGGUUCGGAAUAACUCCCCGAAAGGGGUGCUAAUACCGGAUAAUCUCUUCGGACCAAAGAUUUAUCGCCUUUGGAUGGGCCCGCGUUGGAUUAGCUAGUUGGUAGGGUAAAAGCCUACCAAGGCGACGAUCCAUAGCUGGUCUGAGAGGAUGAUCAGCCACACUGGGACUGAGACACGGCCCAGACUCCUACGGGAGGCAGCAGUGGGGAAUAUUGGACGAUGGGGGAAAGCCUGAUCCAGCAAUGCCGGGUGAGUGAUGAAGGGCUUAGGGUUGUAAAGCUCUUUUACCCGGGAUGAUAAUGACAGUACCGGGAGAAUAAGCACCGGCUAACUACGUG